rnacentral:rRNA from 1 species
UAGGGAAUCUUCCGCAAUGGACGCAAGUCUGACGGAGCAACGCCGCGUGAGUGAAGAAGGAUUUCGGUUCGUAAAACUCUGUUGUUAGAGAAGAACAGCGCAUAGAGUAACUGUUAUGCGUGUGACGGUAUCUAACCAGAAAGCCACGGCUAACUACGUGCCAGCAGCCGCGGUAAUACGUAGGUGGCAAGCGUUGUCCGGAUUUAUUGGGCGUAAAGCGAGCGCAGGCGGUCAAUUAAGUCUGAUGUGAAAGCCCCCGGCUCAACCGGGGAGGGUCAUUGGAAACUGGUUGACUUGAGUGCAGAAGAGGAGAGUGGAAUUCCAUGUGUAGCGGUGAAAUGCGUAGAUAUAUGGAGGAACACCAGUGGCGAAGGCGACUCUCUGGUCUGUAACUGACGCUGAGGUUCGAAAGCUUGGGUAGCAAACAGG